CCCAACGAGGCCCCACAGUUCCAUUUGGACGAUUAGUGGAGAUUGGAGUCGAGUAAAGAUUCGACAAAUACCAAUCAGGAGGCAGUUGGAACCUAGGUCAAGGUAUCCACGUGGACUCGUCUCUUUGGUCGUGACAUGAGACCAUUAUGUUGGAUGUCUGGGCCUCUUGUAGUGUCAAAGCGUACACCCUGGCGUGGCCCUUACCAGCAGAACUCUUUCGUCCAGACCCAGGCGGCCUGUUUUAAGAGGAAGUAACAGCACCUCUACAUCUCCACCCACUAGCCUCCAAGUUAGGUGAAGCAGUUGCUGAAGGAGCAGAUGAAGCUGGCUGGGUAGAGCUGUGAGCAGAACCUUGUGAUUGAUGAGCCAUCGGGCAAUUCCUCCUAAUAUGUCCAGGUUGACCACAUGUAUAGCAAACCACUGUAGCGUGGAGGUAUCGUCCUCUAUGUCGUACUCCACAAAUAUUGCAACGAUUGAUAGCAUAGCCACCUUGCCUUAAAUCUUGUUAUCUCACAACACAGAAGGUCUUCUGUCCUACCCCAAUACUAGCAUUAGGCGAGCCACUCCCUGUUGGUUUAUGCCCUUGAGC